rnacentral:lncRNA from 1 species
CGCAACAGUACAUUUCAUCCGUGCUGCUCUCAAACCAAGGAAUUAAGCCUGUUUUUAUUUAUAGGCUGUUUCAACUUCAAUUUCAAAUGAUUUUCUAACAAGUUUUUGUUUUCUAAGAACAGUUUGAAUUGAGGUGUGUUCCGCCUACUCAUUCAUUCACAUAAAAAUAGUCAUUUUAAAUUUUGCUGACAAUUUCAUUUUUGGGACAUUUCUGACUCGGACAAAAUUCCCCAAGCACUUCCCAAUUGUUUGUGCAGUUCAAGUCUGCAGACAUUUGCGCAUCUCUCGUCAGAACAGGAUCGGCACACAUGUUCACAUUUUCCAUCUGUUGCCCGCAUCGCAGUCAUUGUUGUUUUCGUUACUAAUAAUAACUUUGGAAAUGUGUGCGUUUCUAUCAAAGUGGUCCACCUUCCCUGUGGCCGACAUGGUUGCUGUAUGGACAGUGGAGAGGACAUGGACGUCUCGUUUGUCAUGCCACUUUACUGCCAGCUGUUGACCGUUCUCCUUGAACUCCACCUCCCCUCUCUGCAUCUUCCUGCAUCCGAAUGCCGGCAUCCCCUUCCUGUUCGACCUGACUGCCACAGGCACCUGUGCUGUUGGAGAGCAGAUGCUGGAAGAGUGUGGGACUGCUGUACCAAUUGUCCACGUACAAAGUGUGUCCCUUGCCAAGAUGAGGAGCCAGCAUGGUCAUAUUGUUUUAUGGAGCCAGCAUGGUCAUCACGAGUCCCACUGUAGCUCAGUUGGUAGAGCAUGGCGCUUGCAAUGCCAGGGUUGUGGGUUCAAUUCCCACGGGGGGCCAGUAUUUAAAAAAAAAAAUGCUCUGGAUAAGAGCAUCUGCUAAAUGACUAAAAUGUAAAUCACCAUGGACCCAGACACCCCGAGCCCCUCAUAAUGUUGGAUGUCAGUGGUGGACCCUGUGUGAACUAUAAUGUCCUGGACAAAUCUGGUCUUCAUGUUGCACAUGACAAAGAACUUGACCCCAAACCUGUGCCUAUUGGAGGGAAUAUAUUGACGGAACGCCAGCGUACCUUUCCGUAACAUCAGGGACUUAUCAAUGCAUAGAUACUUGCAUGGCACAACGACCCAACCAAAUGCUGAUGUCAGGCUGAUAAGAACAUUUCUUAUUUUGUAUAACGGGUCACUUAGGAUGGCAGUAGCAUUGUUGACGAAAUGCAGGCAUCGAAGCAGAACUAGGAAGCGGUCUUGGGAAAAGAGGGUGGCAAAGAAGGGAGUUGCAAACAUAGGAUCUGUGCUCCAGUAUUCUCCUAGGGAGUUCUUCUUUACUAUCCCCAUGAUAAGGACUGUCACCAGGAAGGUAUACAUUUCACUAAUUGUGGUUGUCACCCAUUUAGCGAGUUUCCCCCUCACUCCUGGCUCUCUCUUCUCCUGUAGCUCCAAGGCAUAGCGAUUGGUCUCCUCUACUAUGUUUCCCACCAGCUCCUCUGUCAGAAACAACUUGAAGCACUCUGCCUCAGAUGGAAAUGGCAAGGGGCGUUGCACUCCAGACUGGGACUCAUCAAAGCAAACAGCAGGGCCAGGAGGGGUGAAAUGGCUGGCGGCCUUCCAGCUACCACAGAACUCCUCUACUGCAUCCACUGUCGGUCUGCCUCCAUCACCACCAGCAUCUUCAAAGGGACCUGGGACUUCGUCAGUGGACAAGGAAACCUCAGAUUCAUGGUUCUCAAUGGCUUCA